GGCUGUAGCUCAGUGGUAGAGUGCUUGCCUAGCAUGCAUGAGGCACUGGGUUCAAUCCUCAGCACCA
rnacentral:tRNA from 1 species